UACAGAGGGGGCAAGCGUUGUUCGGAAUUACUGGGCGUAAAGGGCGCGUAGGCGGCCUUCUAAGUCGAACGUGAAAUCCCCGGGCUCAACCCGGGAACUGCGUCCGAUACUGGAAGGCUUGAAUCCGGGAGAGGGAUGCGGAAUUCCAGGUGUAGCGGUGAAAUGCGUAGAUAUCGUAAGGAAGGCCGGUGGCGAAAGCGAGCCUCUGGACAGUUACUGACGCUGAUGCACGAAGGCCAGGGGAGCAAACGGG
rnacentral:rRNA from 1 species